rnacentral:rRNA from 1 species
UACGUAGGUGGCGAGCGUUGUCCGGAUUUAUUGGGUUUAAAGGGUGCGUAGGCGGCUUAUUAAGUCAGUGGUUAAAUCGUGUGGCUCAACCAUACUUCGCCAUUGAUACUGAUAGGCUAGAAUAUGUCCGAGGAUGCUGGAAUGAGUGGUGUAGCGGUGAAAUGCAUAGAUAUCACUCAGAACACCGAUUGCGAAGGCAGGCAUCUGGGGCGUGAUUGACGCUGAGGCACGAAAGUGUGGGGAGCAAACAGG